rnacentral:lncRNA from 1 species
AGAGCAAAACUAUAUCAGUGAGACUUUCCUACCUCACUACCUCAGUGUGCACAGGAGGACCAGAGAUGGAGGGAAAAAGAACUGAAAAAGUGAUAACAAAAGGUAUCUAUCAUUAUGCCAGUACUACGUUGUCUUCAUUACUUCAGUGUUGUAGUAAGUUUUGAAUCUGUGAAGGCUGAACAGGCCAUCAAGCAGCCUGCCAUGGGGCCCUGCUCCAAGAACCGGUUCUUCUGCUGGGCGACUGUGCUCCUGGUAUUCAUCAGCCUCCUCCUCAGGGAGUGGCAGGGUCCCUGGGAAGGGAGGGCAGUUGGAGAGGGCUGGGCUAGGUUGGCCCUGACCACUGGGUGGGCUGUUCAGGUUCUGAUGUCUUUGGGCAACAAAAAGAGAAAAACACUCUGUUAUCAUUAACAACUGCAACAUAUUUGGUUGGAGUCCCAAUAUGGAAAGAAUGAAAAGUUUUUUGGUGGUGAAGAGGCUGGGAACCCUGAGCCAGGGCUGCCUUGGCUGUAUUGAGGGAAACUUUACCCACUGUCUGGGCUCAGGGCUGAGCUCUAAGCAAAUCAUCAGAAAGGAGAGGUCCCUUGAAAGUCUCAAUCUUAAAAUUGUUUUUGUAGUUUGAUUAGUGUUCAUUUUAAACAUUAAAAAGAACUUAUAUUUGGGUAAAAUGUGUCUAUAGUGGGCACCCUUCACAUCCCCGUGAGUUGCCUUUUCCUCCCCUCGGAAAUGCUGCUCAGCCCUUGGAUGAAACCAUGUUUAUCACAGCACUGUUCUAGGAAAAACCCUGGAAAGAAACAGGAGGGGCCCAUCAAUUCAGGAACAUGUGAACAAGCUGAGAAGUAUCUGUUCCAUGGCAUAUUAUAGAAGCUUACAAAAACAAAUGUUCCGGUUAUCUGGAAGGAAUGUUCAACUUCCAUGAAGUCAGAUGCCUAGAUUUCCAUCAGCAAGAUUCAGGAACCUGAAUACAAUACAGUCUUCAUUUUAUAAAAGGAAACGCAGCCACCAAACUUUAAGUGUUUAUACACCCAUAUGUUUCUAAGACUAUGUUAAAAAUGUGGAAGGAAUCAGUAGAUUGCUAACAUGGGCUACAGGAGGGCAUAAAAUUGGGAAGGAAAACAUGGAGAGGGAGAAAGUAGGGAACACAGAAUGUUAAGCAAAAAGUGAACUGAAAGAAAGACUGUCCAAAUCUAGGCUGUAUGUCACAUUUGCUAUUUUAUGAACAACUAUAUGUUUGCAUUUAUAAUAACAUUAAAUUUUAAAAUGAGAA